rnacentral:rRNA from 1 species
UACGGAGGGGGCUAGCGUUGUUCGGAAUUACUGGGCGUAAAGCGCACGUAGGCGGCUUUGCAAGUUAGAGGUGAGAGCCCGGGGCUCAACUCCGGAAUUGCCUUUAAAACUGCAUCGCUAGAAUUGUGGGGAGGUAAGUGGAAUUCCGAGUGUAGAGGUGAAAUUCGUAGAUAUUCGGAAGAACACCAGUGGCGAAGGCGACUUACUGGACACAUAUUGACGCUGAGGCACGAAAGCGUGGGGAGCAAACAGG